AUUGAACGCUGGCGGCAUGCCUUACACAUGCAAGUCGAGCGGCAGCACGGGAGCAAUCCUGGUGGCGAGUGGCGAACGGGUGAGUAAAGUAUCGGGACGUGCCCAGUCGUGGGGGAUAACGUAGCGAAAGUUACGCUAAUACCGCAUACGAUCUAUGGAUGAAAGCGGGGGAUCGCAAGACCUCGCGCGAUUGGAGCGGCCGAUAUCAGAUUAGGUAGUUGGUGGGGUAAAGGCUCACCAAGCCGACGAUCUGUAGCUGGUCUGAGAGGACGACCAGCCACACUGGGACUGAGACACGGCCCAGACUCCUACGGGAGGCAGCAGUGGGGAAUUUUGGACAAUGGGCGAAGGCCUGAUCCAGCCAUGCCGCGUGCAGGAUGAAGGCCUUCGGGUUGUAAACUGCUUUUGUACGGAACGAAAAGGUUUGGCCUAAUAAGCUGAGCUCAUGACGGUACCGUAAGAAUAAGCACCGGCUAACUACGUGCCAGCCGCCGCGGUAA
rnacentral:rRNA from 1 species